rnacentral:misc_RNA from 1 species
AUAAUAUCCAUUUUUAGGGCUUUGUUAAUACCAAUGUUAGUUUUCGUUGAUUAUUUUGCGUCGUUGUCUUUGGUGGUUUAGGUGUACGUUUGUUUGAUUAAGACAUCGUUUGUGGGUAUACUUAUUUUUCGAUCAUUUGGGUUCAACAUGGAGGGAAAGUCAGAUUCUAACCAAAAAUGAGAGAGGGGAAAAACAGGCCCAGAGAGCGUAGUGUGCACUUUGCAGCUAUGUAAACUUGUGUUUGGUAGGAGAAAAUGGGAUAAAGUUUUUUUUUUUUUAAUUAUUUUUGCUACAUUAUCAGAAAGUUCAUUAAGCUGUAGGGUACAAUUUCUUCUCUUUCUUUCUCUUUUAAGAAUUUUUGAACUGGAAUUUCAUAUUGUAUUAGCAUCUUCGAGGGAUGGAUUAUUUAACUUGUCUUGCUCAGAAGUGCUCUAGUGUCUGCUGGCAAUUGAGUUGGUUGUGUUUUUGCAUUGCUUUUAAUAACAUGGGAGCUGUUGGUGUUGAUGGCAUAUGGAAAAGCAAGAAAUUUUAAAACAAAAAAUGUGUAAAAAUAUAAGGGUAAUGGAGAGUGUGUUUAUGGCUCUUAGACUAGUGUGCAAUUCAUAAUUGUGCAUUGGUUUCGAUCAUUCAAAAACUUCACCAAUGAUACGGAGAUCAUAAGUAUAAUUGGAACACAAUGCUUCUAACAAAGGCAGUGUGGCCAGCCAAGACUGGUGUAGGAUUGCAAGGAAGACAAAUAGAGCUCUAUG